AUUCGGUUUGGGCCUUUCAGUUCUCCAAUGUCAGCACAGCCCGAGCCCAAGGCGGCAAGGCCCACCAGUGGAAACCCUAUCCCGAUUCCCGUGGCCGCCGCCUGCCAGAUGCCACGCUAGCCUUGCCCUUGCCCGUGGCCGCCGCCCGCCAGCGCCAGCCGCCUUCGCCGUUCGCCCUGUCGGCUGACGGCUGUCGCCCAGCGCCGGAGCGCCCCAAGUCCCCAACCGGCCAACCCAUACGUGGAGACGCCAAGCCCAGUCACUCCCUCUCGUGGUCGCGGGUCGCGUCACGUGGUCGGCAGUCGCGCCGCCGCGGGCUCGCGGCUGUCUCCUGGCUGCAGGCUGCUCGCUCGCUCGUGUGUUAGUGUGUGCUGGACUGCUGGCUCAUCGUUGAUCAACAAAGCAAGUUGCAAGCGGUGAAAGCGACUGCGCUGGUGUCUCUGUCCGGCUAGCUCCAAGCUCCUCGCUCCUGCGGCUACAAGGACCAUGACAGGGAGAGAUGAAAGCUCCGACCGUAGUUCGGCGUGCUUGUUGUUGGGAACACCGGCUCUACUAGCUGCUCUUAGAACUGCUGCUCACUUCUGGAUAAAUUAUCAGUUAAUUAGUAUGCUUGUAUGUGACAUGAGUGUAGAUAUAAUUUCUCACUCAAAUAAUGUCACUAUGUAAUUAUGUUGAUGCUAUAAACUUAAUAUAUAUUAAUGUUUGAAUAAAAAAAAAAAAAAAA
rnacentral:lncRNA from 1 species